GCAGACACAUUCCAGCCAAUCAGCAGCAGACCCUCCCUCCCAGACCCUCCCACCUCCUGGACAGCAUCCAUUUUACAUUCAUUGUGAAGAUGCAUUCUUAGUGAGCUGUCCAGGAGGUGGGAGGGUCUGGGAGGGAGGGUCUGCUGCUGAUUGGCUGGAAUGUGUCUG
rnacentral:miRNA from 1 species